rnacentral:rRNA from 1 species
AACGAACGCUGGCGGCAUGCCUAACACAUGCAAGUCGAACGAGACCUUCGGGUCUUGUGGCGCCCGGGUGCGUAACGCGUGGGAACCUGCCCUUAGGUUCGGAAUAACUCCCCGACAGGGGUGCUAAUACCGGAUAAUGUCUUCUGACCAAAGAUUUAUCGCCCUUGGAGGGGCCCUAGUUGGAUUAGCUUGUUGGUAGGGUAAAAGCCUACCAAGGCGACGAUCCAUAGCUGGUCUGAGAGGAAGAUCAGCCACACUGGGAGUGAGACACGGCCCAGACUCCUACGGGAAGCAGCAGUGGGGAAUAGUGGACAACGGGCGAAAGCCUGAUCCAGCAAUGCCGCGUGAGUGAUGAAGGCCUUAGGGUUGUAAAGCUCUUUUACCCGGGAUGAUAAUGACAGUACCGGGAGAAUAAGCUCCGGCUAACUCCGUG